AGAGCGAACGCUGGCGGCAGGCCUAACACAUGCAAGUCGAGCGCCCCGCAAGGGGAGCGGCAGACGGGAGAGUAACACGUGGGAACGUACCCUUUGGUUCGGAACAACACAGGGAAACUUGUGCUAAUACCGGAUAAGCCCUUACGGGGAAAGAUUUAUUGCCAAAGGAUCGGCCCGCGUCUGAUUAGCUUGUUGGUGAGGUAACGGCUCACCAAGGCUACGAUCAGUAGCUGGUCUGAGAGGAUGACCAGCAUCACUGGGACUGAGACACGGCCCAGACUCCUACGGGAGGCAGCAGUGGGGAAUAUUGGACAAUGGGCGCAAGCCUGAUCCAGCCAUGCCGCGUGGAUGAUGAAGGCCUUAGGGUUGUAAAGUCCUUUUAACGGGAGGUAAUGACGGUACCGUAGAAUAGCCCCGGCUAACUUCGUGCCAGCAGCCGC
rnacentral:rRNA from 1 species